rnacentral:rRNA from 1 species
UAGGGGAAUCUUCCACAAUGGGCGAAAGCCUGAUGGAGCAACGCCGCGUGGGUGAAGAAGGUCUUCGGUAUCGUAAAACCCUGUUGUUAGAGAAGAAAGUGCGUGAGAGUAACUGUUCACGUUUCGACGGUAUCUAACCAGAAAGCCACGGCUAACUACGUGCC